UGAUGUUCAAUCAAUCUACUGGAGUGUUACAUUUUAAUUCGCAAAAAUCCAGUCAUUUUAAACUAAACUGCAUUUAUAACAAUUGUUUAUGUAGUUAUGUUUUAAUUUUAAACAUACCAUUAGUUAUCUGUAUGAAUAAAGGCCUAUCAGUUGCCUUCCUUAACCCACCCCGCCUCGCGCGCGAACCAACAUUAACUUCGGCGCCAAAUAGCUGGAGGCAACUGCAUCUAUAACAUGGCGUCCGAAACGUCUUAUUUGUUGGUCUAGCUUGUUACUUACUACAUCGUUUGCCGUAUUUACCAUCUAGAACAAUAUCUGGUUUUAGGUUUAAUGGAUGAAGAAAAGCAUGGAUAAACACACAACGGAUAUCUGUUUUCCUAAUAGGAAAGAUGCUGUUCCAUUGCCUUCUAAACGACCACGGACAGAUUGCACAUUAACAAACAAACACUGUGAUGAAACCCUUUUAGAGUUAAAAGAAAUGUUGAGUUACCAGAACAUUGACAGUUUCAUGCCACUAAAGAAUAUACCUUUUCUUCAUGAGGAUAAAACGCACAGAAUUGAUUCUGACCAUGAGUAUUCAAAAUACACAGGGACAGGAUUUUCUUUUAAAGAAGUGGAAACAGAUGAUUGUUCAGCUGUCAGAAAUAGUCAGAUAAGCACAGGGUCAUGUGUCAUCAGUCAUAGUACAGAGGUAGACCCACAAGGUCUACAUCAAGGGAUAGAUGAGCAACAUCUACUAAGUCAAACAGGCACAUCUUUUUACAGCUUUCACCCUAGAGAUGAAGCAGGGUGUGCGUCAGCACAGUCUCACACUGCUGAUGACACAACAAGUGAUACGUCCUCAAGCCAUGGUUUCAAUCAGCCUAGGAAAUCACUCAAAUCCACUCUCACCAGUUCUAGUCCCUUGUUAGACAAAACAAAAAUAACUGAACAAAAUGUAGACAGCCAGAUCCCUGUAACCAACCACAGCUCAAGUGUGAGUCAUGGCACGGAAGAACUUGAUUACACCCGUGAACGGCUUGUUCUGAAUUCAACCAUUUACAACAUGGGCUUCAGCAUGAGAUCUGCUGAAGAAGAAAACAACCAUCAGAUUCAGAACAAGGAUGAACAAGGAUUUAAUCAAAGUGACUGCAAUGAGAAAGAGGCCAGGAAUUGCCCAUUACUUGUUGUUUGCAGUGAUGUCUGUGGGUCAUCUGGCUCUCAUGCUGAAACAAACCCCUUUGGGAACUUAACAGUAAUGGGAAAAAACAAAGUAAAUGUAUCCAUAUUGCAGAAUGAUGGGAGAGAAAAUUCUAAUGUCUGUGAAAAAAAAGCUACAGACCUAGUUAACAAGGAAGAUCUCAUGCACAUUGACAGCUCUGCUGCUGUGAAGACAGCAGGUAAAAAUGUAGAUAAUGACCCUGUUGUCAGUUAUUAUGCAGUAUUAGACAGGUCUAUACUGAGUGACGAGGCUAAGAUCAAGCACAAUGAUCUCCAUGAAGCAACCUGGGGGGACACUGUUGGCACGGUGACUGCUAAAGCUUUGUGUGAACUGGGUGAUGAUUACGAAACAAACAAGAAACUGGCAGUGCCACCAUCAACAGGACUGAGUCCAGACACAGCAGAUGUUGAUUGCAACAGUAUAGUAAGUCAAACUGAACAUGCACUUUACUGCGACAUUGACGUAGUGGUUCUAGAAAACUGUAAUAGGACUACAGCAUUUGGAUUAUCUCAACCACUGGAAUACACGACUCCUUUUCACCCACCACAACCUGAAGAUUUACCCCUGAGGCCAGCUGAAUAUUUCAGGAAUGGUACUUUGAUGCUGUCCUGUAAUUCUGAUGAUCAAAAUGAACCCCAAUUGAAAGUUGAAAAGGAGGACACAUGUCAGGUACCACUGGAGCAGUGUAGUUGCACAACAGAGGAACAUAUCAAGAGCAGCAAGAGGAUAGAUCAUUGGGAGCCAGUUCUCAGCAGCACUUCUAUCCCCGAAGAGAGCAAUGGUCCAGAAGAGAGAAGUGAAGCAUGUUCUUCUAAGACAGCAAAACAUCUUAGUGAGAAAUGGGACAAAGCAGGCAAAUUUCCUACUAAUGAAGAUAAUCUAAAGAACCAUGACACCGUUAAUUACCUUUCUAAGUGUGCCAUUCUGAAUGGGAUAAUGGACAAAAACUGUGACAGUGUUACAGAAUGUAUCCUUCAUGUUGAUUUAGGAAAGGGGGAACUGGGAAUGAUAUCUCAAAGUGACAUGCUAAAGAGAGGUGUCAUAGAAACGAUGACUUCUGAGUGGAUCAACAACUUGCCCGAAGCGGAGCUCAGCAAAAUCGAUGAGAACCCAACAUAUCACUUUCCUUUGGAAGCCACACCUGGAACAUUUCUCUUGCAGGCUGCCAAAGAGGGUUCAACCACUGACCCCACAGACAUUACCGCAAAACUCCUCAAAAUUGAAACCAGUCAUUUAGGCCCUUUCAGCUUAGUACCCAAUGAUGCCGUCGUCCCAGGAUCAGAUUCAAGCCCAGAGAAUGACACAGUAUUAGACAAAGAGGAGGACCGAUCAGCCACAGCCAUGCAAUCUGCAACACACAUUCUCUUUGACUGUGUGCCCGUUGGGUUUGACACAUUUGAAAAGUUCCAGCUUUCUCCCCUUGACACCAAUGGCUUGGAGUUCAGCCCUCUCCACUGCAGCUUGGCCAGUCAAGUGUUUAAAACUGAGUUCCAACUUCACAGUGCUGAUGGCACUGUGCCCCCGGGAGAGAGUGAUAAUAAGGACAUAUCAGAGGAAGAAGGGGACCAGUGCCAAGAGGAAGCUACUGUCUUUUUCCAUGAAGUCGCUGCCCAUGACGCUUUCUCAUGCCAAAUCUCCAUUCCAUCAGCGAGCCCGAGAAAGCCUACCCAGACUUCCCUUCACUAUGGAACUUCCCAGUUUGAGCCUCCCCCUCAGGCAAAACUCACACUCAGCGCAAUGAACAACAUCCAUCCAGUCUCUGAAACCCACAGCUUCCCAGAGUUUGAAAUGAAAGAGAGGUUUGACAUGGUCAUGGAGGAGCUGAGCUUGUAUUUUGAGAUCAGUGGCGACCCGGGUAAUCAUUCACUUGAAUCAGCAACAUCUGUACUGUGCUGCGUUAUGGAUCCUGGAGCUAAGGAGGACAACUCUGCUUUAAUGACGCAAAGCAGUAGUGGCCACCCAAGCAGCCGGAAUGCAAUGGAAGAACCCUGCAGAGGCUUAUCACUUUCAGAUGAUGACCACAGUCUGAAAACAUAUCAAGCAGAGCCAGAAACAUGUAAAACUGAGGGCCUUGACUGUGAGCAGGAGGUGCCUCUUGAAUGCAACCAUCACAACACAGAGGAAGAGGAGUCUAUGUACUCUUUGUUUAAGCGUAAUGGUUGGUGGGGUUUGUCAUUUAGCAAAAGGCCUUGGUCUGAUCACUGUUUAGCUGUCUUUCCCAAAAACAUUUUAGAAAAUAAGUUUAUUGAUGUGACCUUAAAAACCAAAACAAUAAUGAUUAUUCUAAUUUGUAUUGCACCAAUCAGACUUUUCAUUUUAUGUUGUCAAUUUCAGACAUUUGAUAGAUCUUCCAAAACAACUUACUCGUACGGUAUUACAACACAGCAGGCAUAUGUUUUGUUGGGACAGUCCUUUUAUAAUGAACAAGACUGUCUUGCCUGAACAUUAUUAUUGGAUCGCAGUGUUUGUGUCUACAGACUCCAGAGAGCAGGGAGCGGAUGACAGAUCCAAUAUGUGGUCUCCUGCCUUCACAUUUCUCCCAUGCUUGGAUCAUUUAAAUCACAGACAGCUUGAGGAGCAGCAGAACAAGAGGUUGGAGCCUCUAAGAACAUGCACACGUCCCAUCAGGGUUGGACUCUCCAAGAAGGUUAGG